GUCAGCAGGCCGCACACGCGCCGGACCGGGUACCGCUGUGCCCGGCCUGGCCGCGGCCUAGUCCCGGCAGACGGGACUGACGAGGUCACCAAGCCCAGGCCGAGACGGCGCGGGUGUCAGGGACUUGGGAAUCCCCCUCCCCCAGUCCCGAUCCCGCUUUCCUUUGGGGUUUCACCUCAGAGGACCCGACAGCACUCUUGCAGGUGGGAACCUACACAAUAGGAGUAAUGUGGCUCCACCUUCCUCUCGGGACUCGGGACCUGGGGGUGGAGACUUGGAAGUUGCAAAGCUCUCGGUGCCGGGAAUCGGGGCUACGGUUGAGUGGGAUCGGGCCAGGGCUGAGGUGGUCCCACCCGUGUAGGGGCGCGGAGAAACGCCUCGACUGCUUCACUGUACCACCACCCACCCGCCACGGGCCUGGAAGGAGCCGCUAAACAUUCCCGAGCCUCAGUUUCCUUAGCACAAACAGGCUGGUAGUUUCCUGGUGCUUGCCAGAUGCCUGAUGGAUGAGAAAGCCUCCUGCGGCCCCGAAAGGGAGUCCAGAGCAGAGGCGGGCCCGCGGUCCACUUUUACAGGUCUGGACGGACUCACGGGACCACGGUCUGGGUGGGGCAUGCGGAAGGGCCUAGGCCAAAUGGGGAGUAGUGGUGAGGGCCCAGGGUCAGACUGGGGGGUGGAGUGAGGUUGUCUGGGAGUCUUGGCUUUAUGAACCGGAAAACCAGGCUAAUAAUUGAAUCCAAUCCAAGGGAUAUUGUAAGUUGUGAUGUGUUGACUGCAGUGCCGCUCCCUAUAGUUGCGCAGGGUGAGGGGCGUUUGGGUACUGAAAUCCCGCACGGUCUCCUUGCUACGCCCGUGUCUAGGCCAGACAGCCUCUGCUUACCAUAGACACCAGUUUCUCAUCCACAAAGGUGCCCAAGGCCCUGCUUGACACAACAGUGUUACAAGCUGUUAGCUUUGAUGAUUACUUGUUAUAUGGGGGAGUUCAACAAGUUGGUCGGUGUCCUUAGGAAAGUCACCCCUCUUCUUUCCUGUGCCUCCGUUUUCAUUGUCUUUAAAAUGGGUAUAAAGUUGGCUGACAGGUGAAGUUGAAAUGUGCACAGGUAAGGGAGGUAGUGCUGCCCACUGCCAGCAGGGGGCAGCUCAGGCAAGGAAAAGACCCCAGUGCUCUCAGGACCCCCCAACCAGCUACGUGAUCACAUUUUUAUGAUCACAGAUAAGAUGAGCAUAUACUGAGGUCCCUUGCUAGCAGUUUGGCAUGGAGGACCUCAUUUAAUUCUUGCAAAAAUCCUGAGGUAUGAUCACUUUACCCAUUGUACAGAUAGGGAAACUGAGGCUAAGAGGUUCGCCGACUCCUAUAACACCACACAGUUCAGAUAUCCCUGGCCCCAACAUAGAGAUACACACACACAGUCACUCACAUGGAGCAGUCUAUCACUGGAGUCAUAACUCCCCAGCCUUGGCUCUUCCCCAUGGGAAUGCAAAAGGGGUCGGUGAGGAGCAACAGUUACGAAUCAACUGUGUUACAGGUGCUCUCUGUAUAUUCACAACCACCUGGCGAGGUAGUGACUGUUAUCCCCUUUAGCACUGAGGAAACUGAGGCUCUAACAGCUGGCAAAGGCAGAGCUGGGACAAGACCAGGGCUCUGACCUCCUCCACCAAUACCUCUGAAUCCUCCCCAGCAUCUACUGUGGUGCCCUUUGCUGGUCUUUCCUCCUAGGGUCUGAGGUUCCCCACUGGAAAUGGGAUCAGAAUGUUCCCCUGCCUGGUUCCCAACAGGGUCAGAAGAGAGAACUUGGAAGAGUUGGAUUUUGAGUGCUUUGUGUGUUGUGUGUAUGUUGAGGGGAGAGAAGUUGGAAUGCUCCCACACCUCCUGCAGCAUCCCCACCCUCCCCUUCACCCCCACUGCAGCAGUGCCAUGCUCUGGAAGCAAGAAUCUGAUCACACCCUCCUCCUUCUCUCAUCACAUUCGGGUGCCCUCUGUCUUCUCAAUAACCCAGGUCUGAUCUCCCUGGCCGCAACCAGCUGUGUGGCCUUGGUCAGGUCCAUCCCUCCCCUUGGAAUCUGUACUUCCCUAGGCUCUGUCAUCUAUUGGGGACGAUGCCCAGGUCAGGCCUAUACUCAGAGCCUUCUUCUCUUCAUCUCCAGAACAGCCGUCUGCCUGUCUUCCUGGCUCGCUCCCUGCAGGAAUGGUCUGGGGCAACCCCAGCAACACGCCCACCUGUGGCCAGGAUGAAUAGGAAUCCAGUUCAGGCUUGGCUUCCAUGGCAAUCAAGGCCCACCAGGCCCCAGCAACCUUCCCUACCCCCCAUUCCUUUUUGCUGCCCCCCUCCACACCAGGCAUGUUCCCUGCCACACCAUGCUGUUCCCCUCACCUGGGCUGCCCUCCCAACUCCUCUCUGCCUCUGGAGAUGCUCUGCCAUUCAAGACUUGGCUCAGGCUCCAGGUCCUCCCUGGGCCUUCUAGAGCCCCUGGUUCUCACUCCUCUGAACACUUCCAGCCUGGCUAAUAGCCCACUGCAUCCUGGCCUGGGGUACAGGUGGCCAGCACAGGUGUGGGGGCCAGCUUCCAACACAAGCACGGGUAGGUCCCUCUGCAGACCAUGGGCUGCAAGAGGCCCGGCCUUGCCCACUGCAGGGGCCCUGCGCAGGGCUGGGCACGAAGCAGGUGGGUGUCCACCAAUCUAGUAUCCAAAACCCUGCUUGGUUCACCCCCACCUCUGUUGAAGGAAAGCAACACUGUGAUGGAGAGGAGCAGCUGUGGAUUCAAAUCCUGGCUUGGCCACUUUCUAGUUGUGUGACUUGGUGCAUCUGCCCUCAUCUCCUCAGAGACAAAAAUGGCAACACCUCCCUUCUUGGGUUACUAUGAGGAUUAAAUAACAAAACCUCCAAGAAGCAGAGCCCGGUGUCUG
rnacentral:lncRNA from 1 species